GGGGGCGAAAAGGGUUCGACGGGGAUCGUUGACGACAGGGCUGCAUACCGAGGUCCCAUUGGCUCGUAAAACAAAUGGGUUUUAAACAUAAUCGCAGCCAACUACGAUUAUGCUCUGGCUGCCUAAUCGCAGCCAGCGUCUCUUCUGCCUUCUCCUGUAGGGCGGAUCAGGGAUGUCAGAGAUACAGGAUAGCUCCUUUCUGAUGCUUAUAGGAAGGGAGUGAAUCUCAAUAAGCUAAUCCUUCCGAAAUCCUGCCUAUGGGAGUUUGGAAGGAUGAAUAAAAAACAUAGGCUAAGUAUGUAGAUGCUCUGUCGGAAGGUUUCCGGACGCGGGUUCGAUUCCCGCCGCCUCCACCA
rnacentral:tmRNA from 1 species